GAUUUUCUAUUUAUGUGCUGUUUUUCUAUUUUAGUAAAAAAGUACCAGUCUCUAUGGCAAAGAGGUGUUUUGCUAGUUACACGAGCUGAUUAUUGAUAAUAUAAGUUUUUUUCAAGCAUUAGCUUCUAAAUAAUUUAUUUUUUGAAAUUUUAUAAGUGUAAAUGUAAGGGUUGUAUUGUUUAAAAGAAAAUGAUUGUAUGGAUUCAAUUCAGGUAAAUUCAAACUUGUUACUUUUUAAUAAUUAUUGUUUCACCAUUCUGCAAGUCCAAUUUUUAUUUUAAGUAAUACCAAGCAACCAGUCUUAGGUAGUUGUAGUUUAAGUUAUAUUGAUUACAUAAAUCUGUCAUUUUUUAAUAAUACUCAUUCCAAUAUAGUAAGCUCUUUAAAGUAUCCCAUUUGGUCAGUUUCAAAUAAUAAUCUCAGUUAUUUAGAUUUCUUUACUAGAUGUUUAUUCACUAAUGACGUAAGUAGGCACUUGUGGUGGCGGUGCUUCAAAGACAGAAUAUCAAAAAAGUAUGUGCUGUGUGCAAUAAGACUUACUAUUCUUCAUCUUCUUUUAGUAAUCAUGGUAAACAUUGCACUUCUGCUCUUCCUACAGAUUUAAGUGUACCAGAUAACGAGACAGGGAAAUGCCCAUUUCAAGAUUGCAGUGCUAGGUUUCGUUUCCUUACAUAUGAGUGUAACUACGUUGAAUUUUAAAGACAUGUUAAGUUUUAAUACUUGGAUGGAUGAAGAAUCAUCAAGAACAUA